GGCCUCCCAAUUCUUACCACAGGCUGUGUUCUUUACACUGACUGUAUAGAAAGAGGAGGUACAGUAAAUGCACCCCUUUUACAUCUCAACCCAGCCUCUUUGCCUGGUCUGUAUUGUGAAUUGGGGGACAAAA